rnacentral:rRNA from 1 species
AGAGUUUGAUCCUGGCUCAGGACGAACGCUGGCGGCGUGCUUAACACAUGCAAGUCGAACGAUGAAGCUGGAGCUUGCUCCGGUGGAUUAGUGGCGAACGGGUGAGUAACACGUGAGAAAUCUGCCCCUGACUCUGGGAUAACUGCGGGAAACUGUAGCUAAUACCGGAUACUUUCCCUGGUGGGCAUCCACUGGGGAAGAAAGAAUUUCGGUCAGGGAGGAUCUCGCGGCCUAUCAGCUAGUUGGUGAGGUAACGGCUCACCAAGGCGACGACGGGUAACCGGCCUGAGAGGGUGACCGGUCACACUGGGACUGAGACACGGCCCAGACUCCUACGGGAGGCAGCAGUGGGGAAUAUUGCACAAUGGGCGCAAGCCUGAUGCAGCAACGCCGCGUGAGGGAUGAAGGCCUUCGGGUUGUAAACCUCUUUUAGCAGGGAAGAAGCGAAAGUGACGGUACCCGCAGAAAAAGCACCGGCUAACUACGUGCCAGCAGCCGCGGUAAU